ACCAGACUCAUGGCGGAAAGAGUGUUGAUAACGUACCUGCUAGCUAAGAUGUGCUGCGGGGUCUCCUGAUGAACAGCUCAGAGGGACAGUUAUGGGAUAGAGCCGCCAACCGAGUCCUGCAAUGCCUUUGGGACUAAAGGCAGAGCCUCCUGAAGCUGCUCAGCGUGAGGCUGACAGUCACGCUGCGGGCUGACUGAAGGAGCCAGUGCAGCAGCUGGCCUGCAGGGGGCGCAAACACCUGAGAAGAAGUGAGAGUGGCUCAGCGUGUUCGGUGUCAUCUACCAGUCUGGAUGAGUCAUCGGUACCCACACGGUUCAGCCACGUCUGCUCAGCCUGGUUGAGGCUGUAAAUAAUAUUUUUUAAUACAUUUGCUGGAAAAAACAGAAGCACCGAGCAGUCAAAUUUUCAUGCUGGUUUUCCUCCAUUUUCCUGAGAUAAGAAUUUUCUUGAUAAGAAAACUUUUCCCCCAAGAUGACAAUAUAAUUUCAGUUAUCAAGAUAAUGACAUGAUUAAUUUGAGAUCUCUAAAUAACAAAUGAAAAUGUUAGUCCGGAGGUUUCAGUCACGAUAUGUCAUGCCAUGCUGACCGAUAGAUGUCCUGGCCAAUAAUUCAAAUGAGCUUUUUUGUGCUUUUUCUGCUUUCUAGUCUAAAAUAUAUUUUAAAUGAAUGAAAGUCAGAACAGGAACUUUGACGUUACCUCUGGACCUCAUGAUCUGAAUCAGUCUGAUCCUCACUUGAUUUGUUAGACCUAGACACAAAUUGUCGUUUCCCCCAUGUGAUGCGCUGAUAUUCUGCUGCUCCUCUGAUGUUGCUGCCAAUUUUGCUGCCAAAAUUAUCCUAUUUUCUCAGUAGAAAAAAAUGUAAAAGUGAUUGGCCGUCCGUAGUAUAAUGUCCUGAAGGCAUCACCUACAUUUAGCAUUUAAAGCAAAUAAUUUUACUCAUCAGGAUAUAAAAUCUGUCUUUGAAUUAAAUGCAUGCUAAAUUGUGUUAAGAUGUUUAAAUAAAGGUUGAGCUUGCGUUAUCACAA